rnacentral:rRNA from 1 species
CCUGUCCAGUGACAUAUAAGUUAAACGGCCGCAGUAUUUUAACCGCGCUAAGGUAGCGUAAUCACUUGUCUUUUAAAUGAAGACCCGUAUGAAAGGCACCACGAGGGNCCUACUGUCUCCUUCCCCAAGUCUAUGAAAUUGAUCUGCCCGUGCAGAAGCGGACAUAAAUACAUAAGACGAGAAGACCCUAUGGAGCUUUAGACAUAAGUCAAUCAUGCCUAAACACUAUAAAUAAAUAACAAAGCAUAAUGACACUGACCCACUUGUCUUCGGUUGGGGCGACCAAGGAGGAAAACACAGCCUCCUAGAAGAAUUAAGAUUAAUUAUCUUAAAGAACCGAGAGCUACUGCUCUAAGCAACAGAAAAUUCUGACUACACAGAUCCGAAUUAUCGAUUAACGAACCAAGUUACCCUAGGGAUAACAGCGCAAUCCUUNUUAAGAGCCCAUAUCGACAAAAGGGUUUACGACCUCGAUGUUGGNUCAGGACAUCCUAGUGCCGAAAAUUUUACUAAGGUUUCGUG